UCAACUUGACCCAUAUUUGAUCUAUAGGUAAAUGCCAAAAGGUUUAAAGGGUAUUUGGGGGAAUUUAGCCAAGAUAAUAUUUAAAAACCAACUAGGAAGCUUCCGGGAAAGAGAGGCUUGGCUUAAUUUCAACGAUUGGUCUUAAAAUUUGGGGUUUUAACUUAAAAGAGUAGAAUUUUGGAAGGAGUAAUGGAAAAAUUAGAAGUUAUUUCUGAUGCCCUAAAGGGAUCUCUAUAAAAGGUUUAUUUCCCUUCAUUGAAGAGAGAUUUUUUUUAGAGAAUUAUAACACUGAAAACUUUAGAAAAUGGUUGAGUUCUAAAAUAUUGAAAUCUCUUGCAAUUUUGGUGAAGAAACUGGUUUUGGUUUCUUGUUUUCUUUUUAAUCUCCAUAGUUUGAAAUAUUCAAAGCACCUCUAAUUCAUUCUAGUUUAAAAAAUGGUCCAAAAGAGUUGAAUCUUGCUGUGUUUGGAGCGAUUGGUUCACGUAUUCUGUUGCUACUACUGAGCUCUUCAUUUUUCUUGUUUUCUUUUGAUAUCCAGGUACUUCCUUUGGAUCUUACUGACUGUGAAGCUCGAUUUGAAGCUUGAAAUCGAAAAUGUGGAGUUUAAGCACAACAUCAGCUUAUCUAUUUAGAAUUUAGCCUUAUUUUCUGCACUACGUUAUUCUCUUACUAUUUGAUUCGUUUGUAUUUGGCAAGUGCUGAUUGAUAGUACCAUUCUGAGGGUUGCAUUAAGUCUCUAUAUAGCAUAUGAGUCCAGAAUUUUUGUCAAGUAUGUUGUAGCUGGACUUUGGGUAUUGUCUGUGGACUCCUAUCAUUGUAUAUCUGGUCUUGGACUGUUGUGAUAUGAACAUAACUUAGAUAGAUCAUAUUACGUUGAAUGUUGAUGUUAAGGUUCUAGGUCGAUUUCAUUAUGAUUUUGUUUGCACUAAUUUUUAUUUUUUUAAAUGACUUCAAGGCUUAUUGUUUGUUUUUUUGUAAAUGCCAAAGGCAAAAGUCUGAAGACUUUACUGUUAGAUAUUCUACUAGAAAAGCAUCAGCUUUGAAUUUUAAAUUACUUUUUGGGUUCUAUUUGGCUUUGAUGAAAUUAGUAGGAGUUCGUUUCUUCUUUAAGAUCUGGAGUUGGAUGGGUUUAAGUCCAUGUUAGUGGAUGUAUUUUUUCUAAAAUCAUGUUAGUUUUUCUAGUUGAAAUUCGAGUUCUAUUAUAUUAAAUGACAAAACAAU
rnacentral:lncRNA from 1 species